CACAGACAGGCAGCUGUGAAAACGUAAGUUAUGCAGGCGCUCACGGAUUAAAAGACAAACAAACCUCGCGGUUACACACUUACAACAAACACACACAUGAUAGAUCGGAAGAACAAAAGGCUGGACUCCAGUCA